rnacentral:rRNA from 1 species
GAUGAACGCUGGCGGCGUGCCUAAUACAUGCAAGUCGAGCGAAUGGAUUAAGAGCUUGCUCUUAUGAAGUUAGCGGCGGACGGGUGAGUAACACGUGGGUAACCUGCCCAUAAGACUGGGAUAACUCCGGGAAACCGGGGCUAAUACCGGAUAACAUUUUGAACCGCAUGGUUCGAAAUUGAAAGGCGGCUUCGGCUGUCAUUGAUGGAUGGACCCGCGUCGCAUUAGCUAGUUGGUGAGGUAACGGCUCACCAAGGCAACGAUGCGUAGCCGACCUGAGAGGGUGAUCGGCCACACUGGGACUGAGACACGGCCCAGACUCCUACGGGAGGCAGCAGUAGCGAAUCUUCCGCAAUGGACGAAAGUCUGACGGAGCAACGACGCGUGAGUGAUGAAGGCUUUCGGGUCGUAAAACUCUGUUGUUAGGGAAGAACAAGUGCUAGUUGAAUAAGCUGGCACCUUGACGGUACCUAACCAGAAAGCCACGGCUAACUACGUGCCAGCCGCCGCAGUAA